UAUGUAAAUGGUUGGCAAAUA
rnacentral:piRNA from 1 species